rnacentral:rRNA from 1 species
AUGAACGCUGGCGGCGUGCCUAAUACAUGCAAGUCGAGCGAACGGACGAGAAGCUUGCUUCUCUGAUGUUAGCGGCGGACGGGUGAGUAACACGUGGAUAACCUACCUAUAAGACUGGGAUAACUUCGGGAAACCGGAGCUAAUACCGGAUAAUAUUUUGAACCGCAUGGUUCAAAAGUAAAAGACGGUCUUGCUGUCACUUAUAGAUGGAUCCGCGCUGCAUAGCUAGUUGGUAAGGUAACGGCUUACCAAGGCAACGAUGCAUAGCCGACCUGAGAGGGUGAUCGGCCACACUGGAACUGAGACACGGUCCAGACUACUACGGGAGGCAGCAGUAGGGAAUCUUCCGCAAUGGGCGAAAGCCUGACGGAGCAACGCCGCGUGAGUGAUGAAGGUCUUCGGAUCGUAAAACUCUGUUAUUAGGGAAGAACAUAUGUGUAAGUAACUGUGCACAUCUUGACGGUACCUAAUCAGAAAGCCACGGCUAACUACGUG